GGAGGAGGCGCUCGUUAGUGCUGAACGAGGGACAGUAGCGAAUCGGUGGCCGCGGAGGGAGAGCGAUGGCGCGAUUGACAGCCGCGGCGGCGAAUAGGCGGACGGAGAGGCUCUGAAAGGCGGGAAGAAGUGAGGCCUCUUUUGCGACCACCCUGAGCUCCUGAUUGCAUCCCUUGGCCAGCAAAACCCUGCAGGAUAAGGGGAAGAUCCGAAUGCUUGGGGCAUCUCCGUUGAAGGAUCCCCUGGGAUCUGUUUUUUGUUUUUUUCAGCCAGCCUUGUCAUGAACAACUCAGGAAUUCUGGAUCAAAAGCUCUCGAUUUGCUGGAAUCAAGAUGUAUUACAUCGGCAGCGUUCCCACCGUCCAUUAAGGAAAGGAAAUGAUGGAAGAAAAAGGGGGUAAAAUAGCUAAAAUUCCACUAUUAUUACUUAAAAAGAGCAAAUGUGACAAAGUUAGAUGCCCCUCCCCCAAAUAAUCUCACUUUAAAGCAGGGGGGGAAUUUGAAAUAGUCCUUGAUUUACAACAGUCCAUUUAGUGACUGUUCAAAGAAAGAA